rnacentral:lncRNA from 1 species
UUUCUAAGCACUGCGAAUGGCUCUUAAGGAUUUCGUCCCGCAACCAUGAUUUGCUCUCGUCAGGAACUUUAGUUAGCGUCAUCUAUAGGCGAUUCUUGGAAAAUUAAUAUUUUCUAGAAAGUGCCAUUAAAGCGUGUAAUUGCGGACGAAUUCCAGAAAAAAAAGACCUCCACCAGUCUGACUUGCUGCUGUUGCUGGGACAUGUGAGCAUCGCCGUGUAUUAUUUAGGGGAAUAUUGAAUAAUUCUCUUUGAAAAGAUUUUUCAAUCUCAUUAACCCAUAUUUUGUCCAAAACAGACUAAGAAGUUGUUUUUCAUAGAUAUCUGUUUAAUUUUAGUGCAAAGCUUUUUCUAAAUAAUUUAAUUAAGGUCUAUGGCUCUAUAUUCCCCUAAAAUGUUUGUGAAAUUUCGCAUUAAAUAUAACACUAGUAAUUUAAGUAUAGCUAAAUCUAUUCUCUCUGUUUUAUGAGGUUGGCUGCUAAUAAUUUUGGAAAUCAGAAUCAAUAAUCAGAAAUUAUGUCUACUGUGUGUAACCCUGUUGAGUGCUUGAGAAAGCAGGUUAAAGAGCUGAAUGAUGGAUGUAUUAAAGCAGCACAGUCCUAUUUUUCACCUUGGAAAUCCAAAAGUGAUCAUGAAUCUGUUGCCUCAAAUUUUAAAGUUUGCUGUUCUACCCAAGAACUCGAUAAGCAGAAAAAUGCUUCUGUUCAAUCUAGUAAUUUAAAGAAAUAUUGCUUAUCAAAUUUUGAUAUAAAUGCUUUGAGUCCCAAUUCUUGGUGAAUGUAAAAUUAACCUUCUGAUGUGAAUUUUUUCUACAGAGAAAGAAGAGAUAUUGUAACAUAUUCUGCUAUUCUUUUUGCUGUGUGAAUUAGACCUAAAUAUGUAUUAAACUAUUUUGUAUUUAAAAUUUUGGAAGCUAAAAUUUCUGUUUUAAAUAGGCUUAUGAAUCCUUAAAGAAGUUAUGCUAAUUUGUGUUUUGUUAACUUAUUUUCUCUUUGCUGUUAAAUGUAAUAAAAAAAAAUAGAACAUAAUUGAGGAAAUUUUAUUAACAUGUACUAUUCAACAGAGCUGGUUAUUUUUCAUUGUUUAAUUUUUUCUCAGCGUUGUUACCUCAAAAUUGGCAUAUUUUCUGAAUAUUGCAUAUAUAUUUGGCAUUAUUAAACCAUAGCGUAUAUUUAUUUCACUUAAUUUGACAAUUUUAUUAUCAUUUGUGAUAUGUUUUAAAUGCACAAUUAUUGUAAUAUGUGUUUGUCAUUUUUGUAUCAGUUAUUUGUUUUCAAUUGACCUUUCUUCAUUGGAAAGUAUGUUUUUGAUUUUUAGAUAUUUAAAACUGCAAUAUAAAAAUACAUUCGACAUUUAUGUCCAUUUUCAUUAGAGUAGAAAUAAAUUUUAAACAGAAUAUAUGAUUUUUUUCUAUCCAAUAAUUUGGUCAGGAUUUAUCAUUCACUGGAUUAAAAAAAAUUUUAGUUGUAAAACUUACCAUUAAAGUAUUAACAUUUUUGACUUAAGACUUGUGACCAAGAAGUUGCAAUUUUAUAAGUCGUUGAAUGAGAUUUUCAUGGUUAUUCUAAGAUUCAAUAUUUUGACUGAAGUGAAUGUUUAUUGAUAACCUGAUAGUAUUUAUCUGCUGUAUCCUUAUGUUUUUAUUUCAAUGUUACAAAAGCAGUUUGUAUAUAUUUACAAGUUAAACACAGUUAAAGUCAUAAAACAAUUUGUGAGUUAAUUUCUUAAACUUUAAAAGUUAACUUAUUGAUAGACUUGCUGUUCUUAUUGGUAAGGUAAAAAUAAUUAAAAUUUCAACUCAAAUUAAAAUUGUUAUAUUCUUUACGAAAAUCACUUACUUUCAAAACACAAUAAGUAUGCAAUUAGAUGUUUAAAAUGCAAAUUAUGAUUUUUAUAAUUUAUGAAAAAUAUUUUCAUUUUAUGUAAAUCCUGUUUUUUCCAAACUUACAUAAAGGAAAUCUGUUAUUGUA